UAAUGUUGAAAGUAUCGGGAACGACAAUGCUUUAUCUUCAUUCUUGCUAGAUUGGGCACUCUAUUGUCUAGCUAUAGGUGCGGCGUGAGAGUUGUGAUUAUGAUUUGGGAGCAAUGAAAAAGGAAAAGAAAUGACUCUUUGUGUUUAAGUGAAUUGUCUUAUUGGGAUAAGUAGAAAAACUUCUAGCUCAAGUUAUGAAAAGUCUUAGCCCUCAUCUAAACAAAAAAUAUAUAUAUAUAUAUAAAAAGAAAAGAAAAAGAAAGAAAAAGGGGGCUAGCAAAGUUGUUAGGAGCUAAGUAAUGUUUUGAGGUUGUGGAAAAUCCCUUGUAGAUUUCAAAGAGAAGGAGUUAAAGUUCUUAGGAUUUUUUGGUGAGAGAUGUGAGUUGGGUUUGACAUUUGGGAAUGAUUGUGUAAUUGUAUGAUUGGGAAAAGGGUAGAACAAUGGAGAUUGAGCAUUGUAUGCAUGAGUUGAUCCAUUUCUUAGAUAUAUUAUGUGCAAUGUCAAGGCUACUUGUUUUGAGAGUAAAUCACUUUAAAAGAUCAUGGAUUUUGAACCUCUUGACCC
rnacentral:lncRNA from 1 species